UCGGGAAUUUUGGGCAAUGGGCGAAAGCCUGACCCAGCAACGCCGCGUGAAGGAUGAAGUAUUUCGGUAUGUAAACUUCGAAAGAAUAGGAAGAAUAAAUGACGGUACUAUUUAUAAGGUCCGGCUAACUACGUGCCAGCAGCCGCGGUAAUACGUAGGGACCAAGCGUUGUUCGGAUUUACUGGGCGUAAAGGGCGCGUAGGCGGCAAGUCAAGUCAUCUGUGAAAUCUCCGGGCUUAACUCGGAACGGUCAGAUGAUACUGCUUUGCUAGAGUGCAGAAGGGGCAAUCGGAAUUCUUGGUGUAGCGGUGAAAUGCGUAGAUAUCAAGAGGAACACCUGAGGUGAAGACGGGUUGCUGGGCUGACACUGACGCUGAGGUGCGAAAGCGUGGGGAGCAAACAGGAUUAGAUACCCAAGUAGUCCCUGAGCGGGCUGGCAAGGCGCAU
rnacentral:rRNA from 1 species